rnacentral:misc_RNA from 1 species
CUCUCUCUCUCCAUAAAAGGACCUUUGCUAUAUAUCCACACACAAUCCAUUACCCAUCUCCACAUUCUCACUUUGCCACCUUCCAUUAUUUCUUUACACAGUCUUUAUCUCUUUCUCCAACAUAACCAACCAAAAGCCAAGCUCCAUCACUUACCCACUUCACAUAUCGAUCCCAAAAUGCCAUCAGAUACUUCCACCGAAACUCGAAAAUUAACCAAACCCCACACGACUGCAGCUCCACCACCAGAGCAAGAGCACCUCCCUUGCCCUCGCUGUGAUUCCACCAACACCAAAUUCUGUUAUUACAAUAACUAUAACUUCUCCCAGCCCCGCCACUUCUGUAAGUCUUGCCGCCGUUAAUUGGACCCAUGGUGGCACCCUACGUGACAUCCCUGUUGGUGGCGGCACCCGCAAGAAUGC